GAGUAAUGCUUGGGAACAUGCCUUGAGGUGGGGGACAACAGUUGGAAACGACUGCUAAUACCGCAUAAUGUCUACGGACCAAAGGGGGCUUCGGCUCUCGCCUUUAGAUUGGCCCAAGUGGGAUUAGCUAGUUGGUGAGGUAAUGGCUCACCAAGGCAACGAUCCCUAGCUGGUUUGAGAGGAUGAUCAGCCACACUGGGACUGAGACACGGCCCAGACUCCUACGGGAGGCAGCAGUGGGGAAUAUUGCACAAUGGGCGCAAGCCUGAUGCAGCCAUGCCGCGUGUGUGAAGAAGGCCUUCGGGUUGUAAAGCACUUUCAGUCAGGAGGAAAGGUUAGUAGUUAAUACCUGCUAGCUGUGACGUUACUGACAGAAGAAGCACCGGCUAACUCCGUGCCAGCAGCCGCGGUAAUACGGAGGGUGCGAGCGUUAAUCGGAAUUACUGGGCGUAAAGCGUACGCAGGCGGUUUGUUAAGCGAGAUGUGAAAGCCCCGGGCUCAACCUGGGAACUGCAUUUCGAACUG
rnacentral:rRNA from 1 species